AUUGAACGCUGGCGGCAGGCCUAACACAUGCAAGUCGAGCGGAUGAAGGGAGCUUGCUCCUGGAUUCAGCGGAGGACGGGUGAGUAAUGCCUAGGAAUCUGCCUGGUAGUGGGGGAUAACGUCCGGAAACGGGCGCUAAUACCGCAUACGUCCUGAGGGAGAAAGUGGGGGAUCUUCGGACCUCACGCUAUCAGAUGAGCCUAGGUCGGAUUAGCUAGUUGGUGGGGUAAAGGCCUACCAAGGCGACGAUCCGUAACUGGUCUGAGAGGAUGAUCAGCCGCACUGGAACUGAGACACGGUCCAGACUCCUACGGGGGGCAGGAGUGGGGAAUAUUGGACAAGGGGCGAAAGCCUGAUCCAGCCAUGCCGCGUGUGUGAAGAAGGUCUUCGGAUUGUAAAGCGCUUUAAGUUGGGAGGAAGGGCAGUAAGUUAAUACCUUGCUGUGUUGACGUUACCAACAGAAUAAGCACCGGCUAACUUCGUG
rnacentral:rRNA from 1 species